CCUACGGGUGGCAGCAGUGGGGAAUAUUGGGCAAUGGGCGCAAGCCUGACCCAGCAACGCCGCGGGAAGGAAGAAGGCUUUAGGGUUGUAAACUUCUUUUCUGAGGGACGAAGAACGUGACGGUACCGCAGUAAUAAGCCACGGCUAACUACGUGCCAGCAGCCGCGGUAAUACGUAGGUGGCAAGCGUUAUCCGGAUUUAUUGGGUGUAAAGGGCGUGUAGGCGGGAAAGCAAGUCAGAUGUGAAAACUCAGGGCUCAACCCUGAGCCUGGAUUUGAAACUGUUUUUCUUGAGUGCUGGGGAGGCAAUCGGAAUUCCGUGUGUAGCGGUGAAAGGCGUAGAUAUACGGAGGAACACCAGUGGCGAAGGCGGAUUGCUGGACAGUAACUGACGCUGAGGCGCGAAAGCGUGGGGAGCAAACAGGAUUAGAUACCCCAGUAGUC
rnacentral:rRNA from 1 species